rnacentral:rRNA from 1 species
GCUCAGAUUGAACGCUGGCGGCAGGCCUAACACAUGCAAGUCGAACGGUAACAGGAAACAGCUUGCUGUUUCGCUGACGAGUGGCGGACGGGUGAGUAAUGUCUGGGAAACUGCCUGAUGGAGGGGGAUAACUACUGGAAACGGUAGCUAAUACCGCAUAACGUCGCAAGACCAAAGAGGGGGACCUUCGGGCCUCUUGCCAUCGGAUGUGCCCAGAUGGGAUUAGCUAGUAGGUGGGGUAACGGCUCACCUAGGCGACGAUCCCUAGCUGGUUUGAGAGGAUGACCAGCCACACUGGAACUGAGACACGGUCCAGACUCCUACGGGAGGCAGCAGUGGGGAAUAUUGCACAAUGGGCGCAAGCCUGAUGCAGCCAUGCCGCGUGUAUGAAGAAGGCCUUCGGGUUGUAAAGUACUUUCAGCGGGGAGGAAGGGAGUAAAGUUAAUACCUUGCUCAUGACGUACCCGCA